rnacentral:rRNA from 1 species
CCUACGGGAGGCUGCAGUCGAGAAUCAUUCACAAUGGGGGAAACCCUGAUGGUGCGACGCCGCGUGGGGGAAUGAAGGUCUUCGGAUUGUAAACCCCUGUCAUGUGGGAGCAAAUUAAAAAGAUAGUACCACAAGAGGAAGAGACGGCUAACUCUGUGCCAGCAGCCGCGGUAAUACAGAGGUCUCAAGCGUUGUUCGGAAUCACUGGGCGUAAGGCGUGCGUAGGCUGUUUCGUAAGUCGUGUGUGAAAGGCGCGGGCUCAACCCGCGGACGGCACAUGAUACUGCGAGACUAGAGUAAUGGAGGGGGAACCGGAAUUCUCGGUGUAGCAGUGAAAUGCGUAGAUAUCGAGAGGAACACUCGUGGCGAAGGCAGGUUCCUGGACAUUAACUGACGCUGAGGCACGAAGGCCAGGGGAGCGAAAGGGAUUAGAUACCCCAGUAGUC